rnacentral:rRNA from 1 species
AUGAACGCUGGCGGCGUGCCUAAUACAUGCCAGUCGAGCGAACAGACGAGGAGCUUGCUCCUCUGACGUUAGCGGCGGACGGGUGAGUAACACGUGGAUAACCUACCUAUAAGACUGGGAUAACUUCGGGAAACCGGAGCUAAUACCGGAUAAUAUAUUGAACCGCAUGGUUCAAUAGUGAAAGACGGUUUUGCUGUCACUUAUAGAUGGAUCCGCGCCGCAUUAGCUAGUUGGUAAGGUAACGGCUUACCAAGGCAACGAUGCGUAGCCGACCUGAGAGGGUGAUCGGCCACACUGGAACUGAGACACGGUCCAGACUCCUACGGGAGGCAGCAGUAGGGAAUCUUCCGCAAUGGGCGAAAGCCUGACGGAGCAACGCCGCGUGAGUGAUGAAGGUCUUCAGAUCGUAAAACUCUGUUAUUAGGGAAGAACAAAUGUGUAAGUAACUAUGCACGUCUUGACGGUACCUAAUCAGAAAGCCACGGCUAACUACGUG